GAUGAACGCUAGCUACAGGCUUAACACGUGCAAGUCGAGGGGAAACGACAUCGAAAGCUUGCUUUUGAUGGGCGUCGACCGGCGCACGGGUGAGUAACGCGUAUCCAACCUGCCCAUCACUUGGGAAUAACCUUGCGAAAGUAAGACUAAUACCCAAUGACAUCCCACGAAGACAUCUGAAUGGGAUUAAAGAUUUAUCGGUGAUGGAUGGGGAUGCGUCUGAUUAGCUUGUUGGCGGGGUAACGGCCCACCAAGGCAACGAUCAGUAGGGGUUCUGAGAGGAAGGUCCCCCACAUUGGAACUGAGACACGGUCCAAACUCCUACGGGAGGCAGCAGUGAGGAAUAUUGGUCAAUGGGCGAGAGCCUUAACCAGCCAAGUAGCGUGCAGGAUGACGGCCCUAUGGGUUGUAAACUGCUUUUAUAAGGGAAUAAAGUGGGUCUCGUGAGACUUUUUGCAUGUACCUUAUGAAUAAGGACCGGCUAAGUCCGUG
rnacentral:rRNA from 1 species